rnacentral:lncRNA from 1 species
UAUACAUCUCAUCCCCAAUAACCACCCAAUCUAAAAAUUCCUCAACUUAGAUGCUUCUGUAAAACUCGGGGAAGUAAAUCAUGAAACCAUCAAUGAUCCCCGCAGGGCUACAUUUGGAGGAGCGAUUGGGUUUUCUAUGGCCAAUAUCACUUUGUCGUGCUUAUCCUCAUGCUGGGCUGCUGCAACAGCAACGUUGUUGUUGCAACGUCACCAUUCAUGCCACCAAUUGUUUGACUUGUUGACGCAAAUAUGCAUUCUCUUCGAAGGUUAAUACGUCCAACAUUGGUGCAUUUCGAGCCUCUUGGAGGCUUCGACUGGAUUAAACUUUGUCUUGGUAACAACUAAUGCGACGAUUGUUAUUGAUUGAGAACAAAGACAUGAAUGGGUUGAAAAUGAAAGAAUGUUCUAAACAUCAACGAUUGGGAAGCUUUAGCCACUGUUUGAGCCCCAUUUUUUAAUAACUAAUUUUCUUUUUCAAACUCAUUUUAAACCACAUUUUCCCAAUAAAAUAAUUUCACAUGUAAUCCCAAAGCUAUUUUUUAACCACAUUCUGCAUAAAAUUACUGUUACAAAAUCUAUUCUCCCAAAAAAUGGGACUCAAACAAACCAUUAUUAAUGUAGAAUACAGAGAGAGAAAAUACCGACAAGCUUAGAACAUAAUUGGAAUUAAUUUUAUAAAUGAGGGUUAAAACUAAUAUUUUAAUUUGAGAGGCUAAAAGCAAAAUUUAAGAAGCUAUCAUUUUGUAGCUUCUCAAAAUUUGAUGUCAGACUGUAUAACUAGUUCGACGAUCUUAUAAGUUAUCAAACACCUAAAAUAGCUUCGAUUAUCUGACAAUCAAAAGUUGGAACUCUAAAAGCAAUCCCAAUUGUGACGUUAAAGGGGAUUGAAAAUUUAGAAUAUGGAUGGUCGUGUGAUAUAUCAAAUAAGAAAUUGUGAGAGCUACUAAAUAAAAAUGUUUCAACAAUGAAGCAGAGAAUAUAAAGGACA